AGUGAACGCUGGCGGUAGGCCUAACACAUGCAAGUCGAACGGCAGCACAGGAGAGCUUGCUCUCUGGGUGGCGAGUGGCGGACGGGUGAGGAAUACAUCGGAAUCUACUCUGUCGUGGGGGAUAACGUAGGGAAACUUACGCUAAUACCGCAUACGACCUACGGGUGAAAGCAGGGGACCUUCGGACCUUGCGCGAUUGAAUGAGCCGAUGUCGGAUUAGCUAGUUGGCGGGGUAAAGGCCUACCAAGGCGACGAUCCGUAGCUGGUCUGAGAGGAUGAUCAGCCACACUGGAACUGAGACACGGUCCAGACUCCUACGGGAGGCAGCAGUGGGGAAUAUUGGACAAUGGGCGCAAGCCUGAUCCAGCCAUACCGCGUGGGUGAAAAAGGCCUUCGGGUUGUAAAGCCCUUUUGUUGGGAAAGAAAUCCAGCUGGCUAAUACCCGGUUGGGAUGACGGUACCCAAAGAAUAAGCACCGGCUAACUUCGUGCCAGCAGCCGCGGUAA
rnacentral:rRNA from 1 species